AGGCACACUGGGAGUCAAAUCUACUUCUGCCGAGACGACCACCAAUGGCACAGAUCUUACAUCUGCAAAAGGCCAGCGCCCAAGGUUGAAGACACUCUGGGAGUCAAAAGAGGGUUCAAAAUGAAACUCAGAGGAGAGAGUAAACCAGCGAGUAAACCAGCACCCAAGGUUGUAAGCACUCUGGAAGUCAAAGCUGCUUCUGACGAGACUAUUUCCGCUAUCCACGGCAUCAAAGGUAUUAUUGAACGUGGCUUGCACCCAGAACAAUUUCGGGGUAUACAAAAAGACACUGAUUUUUAUUAUACACUCUACUCUGUUCACAAUUAUACAAAAUAAUGGUACGUAACUAGAGUUACUUUGUAUCGUACAUGCAGAGCCAAAAAAGAGUGUGGAUGAAGGAAAAAAGGUAUUUCUGUCAAUGUGUUAUUCUCAGCAACAUUUCUAGUAUGAUAUAUUUGUUUUUACAGUGUGGUUUCCGUUUGUAUGAAGUCACAAGAUCUGUUUGGUAGUCAGGUAGAUCAGAGUAAAACACAAAACAUUGAACAUUGUUCAUCAUGAUUGGUGUAUACAUUUUGUUUUAUAUAUAUAGAGUUAGACAGUUGAAGAAAAGUAUGAUGUGCAAAGUCUGAUAGUAUCUAGACAUCCCUUUGAGCCCAGCAGCACUGGAAAAGUACAGUGUCCGGUUAAUUGCUCAUAACCGCAAUGUCCGAUUUAUUGAUCGAGAUACCUUUACCAGUUCAACUGAG